UCUUAAAAGGGAAUGACGUGUAACUGAUACUAAAAUUGACAAAAUGGUAGAUGCACUAUCUGCAUGGCAUGGAAUCUCUCUCAUACUCACUUUCACUGCAGUCAAACAACACCAUAAAGCAAUAAAAUUUGAUAUCAUAUAAUUUCACAAUGUCAAAAUCAAAGAAAAAUAAACUAUUUAGUUGUUCUCAAAUUCACAGAGAAUGAUUUGAUCCCAUAUGAUAAGCACAACAAUGCAAUGAAAGGCAUAGAAACAAUCAUGAAUUUUUUUUGUAGAUGCAAUGUGAAUCGGCCUUCACAUAUCAGAUCACACAACAUGACCAAAUCAAAGCGCUUAAUUACCAAAACAAAUCUUUCUUUUAACUACCAGUGGACCAAAACUCUAGUUCUAGAUUAUUAAAAGAUACAAAAUAUAGGGCGCCAAAUAUAUAAGACAACUAAAUCAUAGCAAGAAACUUUGAUAUGUAAAUAAAUCAAAAUUAGAUCUAGAAACAUCCAGUGUGUUGACAUCAAAAUAAUGGAAACCUUGUAGAAUUAUCCAAACAAUCCCAAGCUAUAUCAAGAUCAACAUUAGCUAUAUAUAGAAACAUCCAGUGUGUUGGCUGCAACCAAGAAUUGCCAUUUUUGCCAUGUUAUAUAGGUUUAUCCCACUAGCGGAGCUGAUAAAAAAUGUGAUUUUAUGUUGACAUAUUCAAAUUCUAAAAGUAAAAAUAGGUCAAGAUAUGUAGGAGUAACUUCAGACUUUGGUCAUUAUUCAUCAAGAAUAGAAAUAACAUGGCAUUAAGAAUCAUAGUCAUAGACUCAACCAUGCUCAACCACCCUAUCUACAGCUCAGCUCAAUCUAUCAAUGUAGUCCGAAAAAAAUGGAAAAUUUAAAAACUUACUCGACCAGUCCACAAAUAAAAGCACAAAAGAAAACCUUCAAAUAAGGCCUUUAUUUUGCCAAGGAAGCCUGUAAUGGUACACCAUAAUUGUUAAAUUCAAAAAUGGGAGGAGAAAAAACAAUAAGUUUUAAAUUACAGGCAUAAUGGGAGCUAUUAUCUAUUCCAUGUCUUGAUUUAAGAAAUGCACUGAGAAGACCUCAACUAAGUUUUAAUGAUCCUUUUAUCAAACAGUUAGAAUGCAAAGUAGCAUUUCUUUGUACUAUAAUUGUUCAUUUCUUUACCUAUAAUUGUGCAUUUCUUUGUACUAUCAAAUGAAGCCCUUACAUAUUGUUAAAUAUUAUUUCAACUUCACACUACCUGCAAGCAGAACAAUAAAAUAAAAUUAAAAAGCUCAAAAAUCCCAAUUGCCUAAAAAACCUACAACAAUUUAUAUAUGGUCUUUGGUGAAAAAACAAAAUGAAAAAACAACUAAAUAAAGAUUAAUUUACCAAUUAGCAAUCCAUGUAGAUGUCAUCAAGUCCAUAUUUGCAGCAACUCUUUUAUAGAACCUUGUACUGCACUUCAAUCAUUUGAAUGUUUAUCUUCAUAAACCAAAACAAAGAAUGAAAGUAAAUCAAUCAAUUUUAGUUU
rnacentral:lncRNA from 1 species